rnacentral:rRNA from 1 species
AUGAACGCUGGCGGCGUGCCUAAUACAUGCACGUCGAGCGAACAGACGAGGAGCUUGCUCCUCUGACGUUAGCGGCGGACGGGUGAGUAACACGUGGAUAACCUACCUAUAAGACUGGGAUAACUUCGGGAAACCGGAGCUAAUACCGGAUAAUAUAUUGAACCGCAUGGUUCAAUAGUGAAAGACGGUUUUGCUGUCACUUAUAGAUGGAUCCGCGCCGCAUUAGCUAGUUGGUAAGGUAACGGCUUACCAAGGCAACGAUGCGUAGCCGACCUGAGAGGGUGAUCGGCCACACUGGAACUGAGACACGGUCCAGACUCCUACGGGAGGCAGCAGUAGGGAAUCUUCCGCAAUGGGCGAAAGCCUGACGGAGCAACGCCGCGUGAGUGAUGAAGGUCUUCGGAUCGUAAAACUCUGUUAUUAGGGAAGAACAAAUGUGUAAGUAACUAUGCACGUCUUGACGGUACCUAAUCAGAAAGCCACGGCUAACCACGUG